rnacentral:rRNA from 1 species
GACGAACGCUGGCGGCGUGCUUAACACAUGCAAGUCGAGCGGUAAGGCCCUUCGGGGUACGACGAGCGGCGAACGGGUGAGUAACACGUGGGUGACCUGCCUCUAGCUCUGGGAUAAGCCUGGGAAACUGGGUCUAAUACCGGAUAUGACUCCACGGCGCAUGUUGUGGGGUGGAAAGCCUUGUGUGGCUAGAGAUGGGCCCGCGGCCUAUCAGCUUGUUGGUGGGGUGAUGGCCUACCAAGGCGACGACGGGUAGCCGGCCUGAGAGGGCGACCGGCCACACUGGGACUGAGACGCGGCCCAGACUCCUACGGGAGGCAGCAGUGGGGAAUCUUGCGCAAUGGGCGAAAAGCCUGACGCAGCGACGCCGCGUGAGGGAUGACGGCCU